rnacentral:tRNA from 1 species
GGAGGAUUCGCAUAGUGGUCUAGUGCACCACCUUGGAAAGGUGGCAUACCUUAACGGGUAUCAGGAGUUCGAAUCUCCUAUCCUCCG